CUCGGACAAAACCACGUGCCUUGUCCUCCUCUACACGAAUCAAACUCGAAGUGAGUUGUAGGCUGUUCAAUGAGAUGAAUGAAGGGUGACGAGUUGAUGGAAAGAACGAGGGGACAAUGGUGAAGUUCUUGAGCUUAAUUUCUCUGAGGGCAAGGUAGGAGAAAAGGGAAAGAGUUUGAGCAUGGUAAAAGGGUUAGGGAGGGGAGUCUGUAAUCUUUGACAGGAGUCACUCGAGAAAUUCAAAGGGAUUAAAGGGGAGUCUCACGAGCCGUCCUAAAACAUUACUUCAGUUCAAA
rnacentral:lncRNA from 1 species